UUGAGCUAAGUCUCAUUGAUUUUUUGUAUUGGAACGAUACAAAGAAGAUUAGCAUGGCCCUGCCCAAAGGUGACAUGCAUAAAAUGAUUUCUUAUAUUGCU